GCAUAUGGGGCAUAUGCACAAUUCACGAUAAAUUCAUAUGCGUCGGAGCUGGACGACUCUACUGUCGCACCACUGUUCAACCUAAUCGGGUAAACGAGUCUAUACGUCUAUACGAUACUAAAAGAUGGGGAAGACAAAUUAUUUGAUCUUAUUGGUGGUGCUAAUAACUUAUUGCGCUGCCCAAAAAGGUAACAAAGAAGAUGGAAAAUUAACGAAAAAUGAGGAAUCUGUCUGGAAAAAUAAUAUGAAACGCCGUUUUGAGGCCAGCAGUCGUAGCAGUAGUUGUUCCAUCGCCAGUGUGCCAUGCAGUUGUGCUAGCUCUACUAGCACUUGUACCUGCGCUUCCACCGGAUGUACCUGCGCUGUUACCGGAGCCUGCUCCAUCAGUACUAGCACUGGGGGCA
rnacentral:misc_RNA from 1 species